ensembl:ncRNA F58F12.10 ncRNA
AAACAAACAUUCAGCUGAUCCCAAACUGACAAUGAAAUUCGAACUAACACCAUCUGGUCAUUUUUGUCCCACCAUUUAACCCCAAAAAACCAUUUCCAAGAAUCCCCCGAGGGAUAUAAAUUAGUACUUUUCUACUUGU